AACGUAGGUGGCAAGCGUUAUCCGGAUUUACUGGGCGUAAAGGGUGUGCAGGCGGCUCGCUAAGUGGUGUAUGAAAUCGCCGGGCUAAACCUGGCGGGGUUAUGCCAGACUGGCGGGCUAGAGUGCGGGAGAGGGACGUGGAAUUCCGGGUGUAGUGGUGAAAUGCGUAGAGAUCCGGAGGAACCCCAGAGGCGAAGGCGGCGUCCUGGCCCGACACUGACGCUCAGACACGAGAGCAUGGGGAGCGAACGGG
rnacentral:rRNA from 1 species